rnacentral:rRNA from 1 species
GACGAACGCUGGCGGCGUGCCUAAUACAUGCAAGUCGAACGAACCGCGACUAGGUGCUUGCACUUGGUCAAGGUGAGUGGCGAACGGGUGAGUAACACGUGGGUAACCUACCUCAUAGUGGGGGAUAACAGUCGGAAACGACUGCUAAUACCGCAUAGGACAUAGGAUCACAUGAUUCUGUGAGGAAAGGUGGCGCAAGCUAUCGCUAAGAGAUGGACCCGCGGUGCAUUAGCUAGUUGGUAGGGUAAAGGCCUACCAAGGCGAUGAUGCAUAGCCGACCUGAGAGGGUGAUCGGCCACAUUGGGACUGAGACACGGCCCAAACUCCUACGGGAGGCAGCAGCAGGGAAUCUUCCGCAAUGGACGCAAGUCUGACGGAGCAACGCCGCGUGAGUGAAGAAGGUCUUCGGAUCGUAAAGCUCUGUUGUUAGAGAAGAACAGCGCAUAGAGUAACUGUUAUGCGUGUGACGGUAUCUAACCAGAAAGCCACGGCUAACUACGUG